UUCACUUCAUAGCGCACCAAUCUUUCGCCUUUUACUAAAGGUUGCCGUGAGUGGGA
rnacentral:snRNA from 1 species